CGAGCUCGGGGCGGGGGGAAACGCGGGUACUGCGCAGGCGCAGAGGACGCUGCUCCCGGUUGCCUUCGCUCGAGUUCGGUCUCCCGACGCACCCGCGGGUUUUGACAGGAGCAGUGCAUCUUCAUGCCUUCGUGAACACGUGUAGAGUUACCUUCACAGGCCGCCUAGGCACUGGCCAAUUCGCCCUUCCUCUGCCCGUCCGCUCAUCAGGCUUCCCGCUAACCUUGACAAGCAUUUCUGCGCACGGUGCACGCUUCUUGCAUUUUUUUUCCUUCUUUGAACUAAAACCGAAACAAACUCCUGUUUUCUCGAGUGGUUUCUGUAGCGGCGCUGAACCGGAACACCCCAGACGCUUUCUCUCGGUGAGAGGGUGAGCUGGUAGUCAGCCCAUUUCUCACACGCGGAAACUGAGGCCUGCGGACAGGCGGCCCCGGACAGAGAUGAGGAAAGUCAGGAAGAUGCGAAUGAGGCCCAGAAAGUUUUGUGCUGAGAUUUGAAGAAGGAGAAGAAAAAGAAGGCGGAAUGCUUACCCUGGAAGGGGAACAGCAGCGACAGAGCAAGUCUCAGGAAGGGCCUGGUGUGUGUUAGAGCAGGUGCACAAGUCAUCACCAGAAAAUCUUUGGGAUACAGUACACAAAGAGAGGAGCUGCCAGUGCUGGAAGGACGGGUCCCAGAAGGAGCUCGGAGGAUCCAGAGGAAUGACCAAGUUACCUGCUGAGUCAGGGCCUCGUGGACUUUCGCGAGGAGGCACCACUGCCGUUUCUGCGAGGAACUCUAGCUGGAAAAUGCAAGCUCUCAGCAGAGGAAAUGCAACCUUCCCUUCUCUGGGCUAGAAGGGUGGUCGUGGUAGGCUGGGGGAAAUGAUGGCGUGGUCUCUCUCUGGUAGGCAGAUCUGUUUCCUGAGUCCCUGAGCUGCAGCUGUUGAGAUUCCAGACACAAACAAGUACGUAUUCUGUGAGCGUCGCUGAGGCCACACAGCAAGGAAGAGCCAAGCUGGAUUCCUUUCUGCUUUGCACAUCAGCAGCCCAGCUGCCAGCUGAACUCCAGGGCAAGCUCUGCGCCUGGUAAUGAUGCAGAGGCUCUAGAAUGUCAUUUCUUGAUGUCGUCUGUUCCUUUUCGCCCACUAUGACCAAGGACUGAGCUCCCUCUACGCCAGACCAUAUGGAAGUCGAGCUGGGGGCUUCAUCUGACCAGGAAGAGAUGAGGAACGCUUCACCCGUGUGCCAGGCAGACCCUCACAGUUCCAGGGCAGAGUUUCUAGAGCUUCGUGCCGUUACUGAUCUUCCUCAUCUUGCAAAACUGCAGAGCCUCCAGAUUCCCUCAUUAGACACCAUUCCAAUGCCAGUGCGCCUCUGCGCUUGGAUGCAUCUCUCUGCUUGUCGUUUGCUGCCUGCCAAUACUUCCUGGGGCUGCACAAGGGGAGCUGGAUGGGAUGGUGGGGAAAAGACCUGCAGUGGUUUGCUCUCACACCGUCUGCUGCCCCUGCGUUAAUGUGUGGGCUUUCCAGCAGGCACUGGGGAGGACGUCCCCAGGAGAGGCAGAGGUGGGGCUGCUUCCCAAGAAGGGGCUGCCAGGCAGUUACCACGCUCCAAGGGGAGAUGGGCAACUCUUCUCAGGGGGAAUGCGCGCUAGGGUCAGAUGCAGAAAUCUUCCCUCCGCCCUGAGCUGGAUGUUGGCUGGAAAGAUAUUGGAGGUUUGGCUCUGACCCUGGCUUUGGAAAACGCCUCCAUUCUGCAUACAGACGAGGGUUCAGACGUUAUCCUAGACACUCGCCCCUCUGCAAAGCCCUCCCCCAGCUCUAAUGAGUAAGUUUGGUUGGGAGUGACGCCCUCCAUCUCCGCAUCUUGGAAGACCAGGGCAGUGUCUCUCCUCGACUUUGCCAGGCUCUCCCCAGACAGGGAGAGCGGUCCUGGGUCGCCAGGGGCUGCUCUAAACCACUUAUUUCUGCACCCAGGAAAGCUCUGCGUCCGGGAGACCCCCGCAGUCCUCUGGGGAUCUGCUGCAGGCAACACAGCAGCUGCUCUGGCUGGUGUGGCGAUUACCAUCAGGGGGGCACUCCUCCGUGUGGCACGAUUGGUACUUGGCUCUCUGACCCAGGCAGUAUCUCCCUCCGUUCUGAGGCUCGGGGUCCUCGCACUCGCGGUGUGAAAACUGUACCCCUCCUCCGCAGGUCCGUGAACAUUCUCCCCAGGGUCCCCACGGGGACCAGCCUCCAUCCACCACGGCCUGCAACACACAAGGCUGCGCUGAGUGGGGAGCAGAGGGCAGGAGGCCUCGGCUCUUGGUGUGACCUCCUCACCUAGUUGCGCCCGUCCUAGCGCACGCAGUUUGGUAAACUGCCUGAUUCACCUGUGCAGGGGCUGUGUGGCCCGUGCAGCCGCGGCUCCCUGAUCACAGUCUGUGCUGGCCUUGCUCGCGGCUGGCCCCCUGGUGUCUACAACAGUGCCCUGCCCUUUGUAAGGUGCUCAACAGGAGUUGCUGCGUGAAACACUUUUACGGGAAUAAGGUUGGGUCUAACACAGCGGCUCUCCAUCAGCCGGGACACGUGGCAGUGUUCGGAGACCCUGCGGUUGUCCCAGCUGGGCAGGGCGUAGGCUGCUGGCCUCGAGCGGGUGGCGGGCAGGGUGCUGCUAAACAUCCAGCCACGAGCACGACAGCCUCCCACAGCAGGGACGCACGCAGCCCAGAUGCCACCAGUGCUGAGGCGGGUAAGUUCUGAUCUAAAGGACUAAGCUCUAGGAGGUGUGGCCACGAGUCUGCCAGCUGCCAGGUCCAGGGGUAGGAUGGUGCUGGGAAAUAAACUAGAGUGGCUUCCAACUUUACAACUGACCCUGAGGGCAAGGCAUUGCCUUGGGUGGGUUCGUUAAGUUUUCGAAAUGAAAAUAAUUUUUAAAAAGUUGCAGAAGUCAUACGUGCUCAUAGAAAAAAUGAAAAAUACAGAAAGGUGUAAAAAAGAAAGUAACGCUUACAAAAUACCACUACCCAGAUGAAACGACUGACAUGAUUUUCAUCAAUAUCCUUUUGUACCUUUGCUCUGACUAUAGAAUCAUGAAGGUGCCAGGUUUUAUUUUACACAGAUAUGAUUCUGUCAUAUACAUACAUAUAUAUAUAUAUAUAUAUAUAUACACAGUAUUUUAUGAUCUGUCUUUUCCCCUUAAAAAUAGGUGAUAAGCAUCAUCCCGUGAUCGUUUUCUGGCCACCUUUCCCUGUACUGGGCUUGGCUGUGGUGCUGGGAAAGGUUGGAUGGGCUCCCUCCCUGCCUCUCCCCUCAGGAACGUGUGAAGCGCACGCUAUAGGACAGGGUUGGGAGAAGCUCAGUGUCGGGGUGUGGGCUGGGAGGGGGCUGAGAAUGAAUCCGUGGAUCCCGUCCCAGCUCAGGCUUAGAAGAAGCAUGUGGUUUCCCCGCCCACGCGGGCUCCCGGACCUCAGUGCAACGGCAGCACCCCCGAGGACAGCCCUGAGGAGGGUGAGCGCACAGGCCACCCUGGUGAUUCAGAGCUGGGCUGGGCCCAGGCUGCGAACCCGGUGGAUGCUGUUUCACAGAUGGCUCAGUGACUCGCCGAGAAAUGUGAUCAGCCUCACAGUUCGGAUGUAUUAAGAGCAGAGGGCAGAGAAGCAAAUCAUUUAAAAACUCUCACUGGCAUUGCCUUUUUGUCUUUGCCAGGUUUUCUCUGCCUGGUCAGAGGUGACUCUGAUUCCUCCUUCCCUCCUCCUUGAGCAAGGAGUUCCCACAAUUACUCUCACCCUCCCGACCCCUAGGUAUGCAUUCGGCUCCGACACGGGUAGGAUGUGAAUACCUUCCCCUCAUUCUCGAUUGGAUGUCCCUCCUCUGCUGUCACGCUACCUGUUUAUAAUAGAAUUCAUAACGGCUUCUGUCUGUUGCGUGCCCACGACUGCUCUUGCGCUGGAGCGUUCCACACCUAGCACCAAGCCUCACAGGCCUUCAAGUCGACUCCGCGGCAGCCCCACAGGCGGAGUCCCCCAAAUGCCCGCAGCCCUGCUGACGUCAUCCAUCAGUCUUGAACAGCUCCUCUCGGCUUUAGAUAAAUAUGCUUUGCUUUGUCCAAAGGCAGGCAGCUGCCACCCAAGCAGAGGCUCCCGGGCCCGCAAGGCGUCCCGUCCGCCCAGGGCAGGCUGCCAUUCUUCGUGUGGCAAAGGGGCUCGGCGCCAUCCAUGUGGCACCAGAGCUGGGCACAGAUGUCCUGAGCAGAGGUGUUGGGGCAGUGGCGGAAGCCCAGCCCAAAGAUCUGCUUGCA